rnacentral:rRNA from 1 species
GACGAACGCUGGCGGCGUGCUUAACACAUGCAAGUCGAACGGAAAGGCCCUGCUUUUGUGGGGUGCUCGAGUGGCGAACGGGUGAGUAACACGUGAGUAACCUGCCCUUGACUUUGGGAUAACUUCAGGAAACUGGGGCUAAUACCGGAUAGGAGCUCCUGCUGCAUGGUGGGGGUUGGAAAGUUUCGGCGGUUGGGGAUGGACUCGCGGCUUAUCAGCUUGUUGGUGGGGUAGUGGCUUACCAAGGCUUUGACGGGUAGCCGGCCUGAGAGGGUGACCGGCCACAUUGCGACUGCGAGACGGCCCAGACUCCUACGUGAGGCAGCAGUGGGGAAUAUUGCACAAUGGGCGGAAGCCUGAUGCAGCAACGCCGCGUGCGGGAUGACGGCCUUCGGGUUGUAAACCGCUUUCGCCUGUGACGAAGCGUGAGUGACGGUAAUGGGUAAAGAAGCACCGGCUAACUACGUG